GCCGAUUUCCAGCCGUGUGUCAGGGCGUGUUCGUGCGAGAUUUAACUACUUACGGAUACGCGGAUAAUACGCGAGAACGGAGCGAAAGAGAAUUUUCGAAAAUUUAGAGCCGAACGGCACUCUUGCACGCAUCGGGGCGAUACUGACGUAAUGACGUGACCUAAAGGUUACUUGUCAAAAUUGUGUCAACCCGCGUGACCGAGCGUCAACACCUGUCGACGUCUCGUAUUCCAUCUCUCUUUCUCCGUCUCUCCCUCUCGCUGGUCAUCGCUCGCCUCGUUCGUUCAUUCGCGCGAUUUCUCGUUUUCUUAUCGUUCGUUACGCUGCCACGCUCGCGAUACAGACGGAUCUCGCGCGAUAAAUCAGCGCGAGAUGCAAACGCAGCCGAGAGCCGAGACGGCGCUAUCGAUCAGGUCAGGAGCGACGACGACGACGACGACGACGACGGUGGCGGAUUGUAAUCGCCGUGCUAAAGAGGAUUAUCGUCGAAGCAGAACGCAUCUAUGCGCUUCGUUACGUGUGCGCUUUUCCACGUAUUAGUGUGCGAUACUGCAACGGUAUUCCGGUAUUAACGCCUAAUCGAAUUUUCCGUUUCCCCGAUGAGCCGAUCCGGGGGACGUUUUGCAAGCCCUGCCCACGCGAAAUGCUUUUACGAAACACUUGAUUUCAAUAUACAUUGCAUAUAUAAUUAUUGAAGAGCAAUGGGUUGCAUUCAUCUUAUUUGUGCUCAAAGCAGUUUGCAUCUAACAACAAUCAAUUAAGAAGUGUGGUUUAGAAUUUACAAAAAUGCGGGAGUGGUGUGGCACGGUCCCCUGGUAUCCAGCAGGGAUCUGAAACAAAUAUCUGUGUUUAAAGAACUCUUGAUACAAUAAAUAUCAAAAUAAUGUGGACUGUAUAAAGUAAUACAUUGUUUUAAAUGUACUGCUUAUUACAACGCUGAAAAAUAAUAGUUACUAAGCUCUUUUAAACAUUGAGCAAAGUAACGUUUCACGAAUUUAAUACACAAUUGUUAAUAGCUACAUUUUGUACAGUCAAAGGGUAUUUUGCAUUCAAAUUGUAAUAAUAAAAGUUCAAUUUUUGAGUGUAUGUGCAAAUAUAUCAAACACUGUAACUGCCAAAAUGUCAUUCUUAUCGAAUCUGAAGAAAGCAUUCCACUUUGGUGGUAAUGAUGCAAAGAAGAAGAAGCUGUAUAACAAUAUUAAAAUGGAUUGUAACCCGGAAGAGUUUUGGGAAAUGGUGGGUGAAUUAGGCGAUGGUGCAUUUGGUAAAGUUUAUAAGGCACAGAACAGGCAAUCCAACCAGCUUGCCGCUGCAAAAAUGUGUGCAUUAGAGGGAGAAGAUGAUCUUAGCGAUUUUAUGAUUGAGAUAGAUAUUUUAUCAGAAUGCAAACAUUCUAAUAUUGUUGAAUUACAUGAAGCCUAUUUCAUUGAAGGAAAAUUAUGGAUGUUAAUCGAAUAUUGUGAUGGUGGUGCUGUGGAUUCCAUAAUGGUCGAACUGGAAAAAGCGCUAACUGAAAUGCAAAUAGCGUACAUUUGUCAGUAUAUGACUAAAGGUCUUGCUUUCUUACACAAAUCCAAAGUUAUACACAGGGAUUUAAAGGCAGGAAAUGUUUUAUUGACUAUGGCAGGAGGUGUUAAAUUAGCUGAUUUUGGAGUAUCUGCAAAGAACAAACAUACUUUACAGAAGCAUGAUACAUUUAUUGGCACUCCUUAUUGGAUGGCACCCGAAGUUGUCUUAUGUGAAACAUUUAGAGAUAAUCCUUAUGAUUUUAAAGUGGACAUCUGGUCUCUUGGUAUAACUCUGAUAGAGUUUGCACAAAUGGAGCCACCGAACCACGAAAUGUCGCCGAUGCGAGUGCUACUUAAAAUACAAAAAAGCGAUCCGCCGAAAUUGGAUCAACCCGGGAAAUGGAGUAAGGAAUUUAAUGAUUUUAUUGCUAAAGCACUUAUAAAGGAUCCGACCUCACGACCUACAGCUGAUGAUUUGUUAAAACAUCCGUUCAUAAGCCGAAAUUUAGAUCCAAAACCUGUCAGGGAUUUGUUGCUUGAAUAUAAGGCGGAUGUUGUUGAAGAAGAGCUCGUAGACGAGGAGGCGGAGAAGGCCAAAAAAACGAAAAAACACAGAGAACAAUAUCAACGAAUUGGCUGUGCAUGCGGUUCUCCUGGCCCUCGCCAGCCUCAUUACCCCAAUGUAUGUCAGGAGCAGCGCACGUCUCAGCUUCCUCUGGAGCUGGAUCAAAUCACAGAUGACUCCGCUCCUACGCGCCUUGAUGCUGAAAUUAAGAUCGCUGACAAAGAAAAUCUCGUGGCAUUACCUGCACCUAUGAAGAAAGAAGAAAGUAAUAAGCGUGAGAUGAACCGUGAUGGUGAGAAGGAGGACAAGAAUAAAAGAUUACGUAAGGCUGAAUCCAAAGAGAACAUACAGCCUCCACCUGCAGAGAAAAAACAGGCACCUAAGCCGCCAAGCGAAACAAGCGAGCGUAGAUUAUCUCGAGAUAAAGGGCCGGCGCCUCCCCCACCACCCAUGCGUCAAGAUAGCGAAGAAAAGAAGAAGAAGGACGUCGAAGAGAGAGAAAACAUUUCAAAAGAUGUCGAAAAGAUCGUGAAUCGAACGGAUAAACAGAAAUCUGCCGAAGACAAAUCGCAAAUUAAUAAGUUAUCGCAAAAUGAAAAGACGGUGGAUCAGCAAGUGACAAACAUUAAAGAACAAAGAAACUUGGAAACUGAAGAUCGGAUGCAAAAUGAAUUGGAUGGUUCCGGGAAAAUAAAGAAAGCUGAAAAUGAAGAUAAUGUUAAACUGUUCGAUAAUAUAAGAAAAUUUGAAAAUCAGCAGAAGUUAAUGAACAGAAAAUCGAGUCCCGCUUCGAAAAAGCAAAUGGGAGUAAAUGAAAAACGCAAAUCGGCACCUGUAAAGCCAGAAAUGAUUGAAGAUUUGUCGAAAAUAAUAUAUAAGCAAUCAUCUUUAGAAAAUAAGGAUAGGAUGAAAAAUAAAUUAUUAUCCGUUGAUGAUGUAACGAAUUACAAUCUACAAUCUCAAGAGAAAGGAGAUUAUAAGAGUUUGGAAGAAAAACGGAAAUCUGUCGGAGAGAAACUGAACGCUGUAUUGGAGAAGCGAUUGUCCAUGGAUUCUGGAAAAAGAAUAAGCGAUGGUUCUAUGGAAACUUUGAAGCAUACAUCUACCGUCGCAUCGACGGUUCUAGCAGAGAAGAAUAACGUUAAGGCUAAUUCCACAGAGGAUAUUAAGACACAGUUUGAUCUAACAAAGACUGAGAAUGCGACUGUGAAAAGUCGCAGCGCGGGAUCGUCCAGAAACGAUUCCUUGGAAAACUUCUCGGACGAAUUACACGUUAAAGUGGAUGAUAAUAGCACAGAACACGGGCGAAAAGACGCAGUAAGCGACGAUAAGGGUUUAGAGAAACAAGAUUCGGGAAUUAACGUGUCAGUAAUUACGUCGACGCCGCUGAAAAGUAGAAGCGGUUCGAGAAGAAGCAGCGGAGACAAUAUAGUCGUUAUUACUGGAAAAAAUCAACCCGAGCAAGAAGUACGCUUAAACACUUCGACUGUCCGUAUUACUGCCGACUCGCCGGACAUGUCGAAUAGCCUAGCGAGUAACAUAAGUCAGGUUACCGUCGUGACGACGCAUCCGCCCGUACUGGUGGACGCACCCUCGACGACGACGACGACGACGUCAACGACGACGACGACGACGACGCCUCUUCCGCGUCGCACUUCACCGACGUCGGAAGUCGUUAUCGUUGCCAACGAAAUGAACAAGACUCAGGUGAAUGACAAUUCGAUUGUCGACGAUGACGCAUUUCCUAGUCUGGAUAGUCUGGAAUAUACGCCGCAAGAACAGCCUAUCGUACUUACCGACGUGUCCAAGAGGAUUGGUAAAAAGUUGGACGAGUCAGAAGUGAUUAUAGUGAGCCCAAUUGUGGACGAGUUGCAAGAUACCAGUCACGUCUCCGUAGUUACGGUGGGCGAUGAUAAGGAACAAGUGAAGGACUCUUCGAUAUCCAAGAAGCAUAACGUUAUUCGUACCGGUUCUUCUCACAGUGAUUUGAGCUCGAAUGAGAGAUCGAGCUUGAAGAGCGAUAGCGGAGACGAGAGCGGCAAAGUAAUGGUCGCCGGUACGACUAUAGAACCUUCGGAAGUGGACAACUACGAGAGAAACGGAGCGAAGAAGAUGAAUGGAUUGAUCAAGAAUGAGAUCAUGCCGCAUCACAUCGACGAUAGAAUCGUGAAGACGGUCAAGCCGAAGGAGAUCAACGUCAAGAGUUUCGGCAAGGAAAAACGAGUUUCUCCGGAUAGCUUCGAAGGUUCCAGGUCUCAGAGCGAUUCCAGUUCCAUAAGAUCGCACACCCCGAGCAAGAGCAUCGAUCGUUCCGACGCCGAAUCCAUCUCGACGACGAUCAGUCAGGAUAGCAGAGAAUCGAACAAGGAAAAUCGAUUGAAUCAAGCUCAGCACACGGAAGUCGACGAGGAGGUCGUUCUGCGUCGUAAGCCCGAUUACAAUCGCGAAAUAUCUCGACCGACCAGAACAAAGGAGGAUAUACAAAUGAUGAAUUUGAAAAAGAAAACGAGAAAACGCACGAGAAAGUUCGAGAUUGAUGGUGUCGUGAUGACGACGACGACUUCGAAGGUGAUAUACGGCGACGAUGAGAACGGCAAGGUGUACGACGAUCAGAUAUUCAGGAAGCAAGAGCUGAGGGAAUUGAAGAUGCUGCAGAAAAUGGAGCAGAAGCAAUUCCAGGAUUUGGCACAGAAGGCUCAGUUCAACAAGGAUCAGCAGGAGAAGCGGUUCGAGCAGGAACGGCAACUCUUGGAACGUAAUGCUGAAGCGGAUUUAGAAGCGCUUGCCAGACAACAGAGACAGCAGAUCGAGCGGGCCGAGGCGCAGCAGGAAGUCGAUCUACGAUUGGCGUCCAAGAAAAUUCGUAGCGAGCAAGAGAGGGAACUCAAGCAGUUCCGAGAGGGUCUGAAACAAGAAUUGAGAUUAUUGAAGCAAGAGAUAGACUUGAUGCCAAAGGAUAAGCGGAAGAGUGCGUUUAAGAUACGAAAGGAGAAGCUUGAAGCAGAGCACGAGGAGCGAGAGAAGUUCUUCCUGGAGAAGCUCAAUGAGAGUCACGAGAUGUCGCUGAGGCGAUUGUCGGAUAGUCAUCGCGAGAAGAUCGCGUUAAUGGAGCGGCAAUUCUUGCAGCAGAAACAGCAAUUGAUGCGUGGCAGGGAGGCGGCCAUCUGGGAGCAGGAGGAACGGCAGAUACACGAGCGGCAACAAUUACUCAAGAAACAGCUCAAGGAUAUAUUCUUCCUGCAGAGACAUCAGAUGCUCAUACGGCAUGAGAAAGAGCUGGAACAGAUGAAGCGAAUGAAUCAGAGAAAGGAGGAAGAGUUGAUCAAGCGGCAAACGGCGGAACGUAGAAAUCUGCCUAAGCGUAUUCGCAACGAAAUGAAGGCGCGCGAGAUGAUGUUCCGCGAAUCGAUGAGGAUUUCGAUGUCGUCCGUGCUCGCGCCGGAUCCCGACGCCGAGCGGGAGAAGCUGAAAAAGUUUCAGGAGAACGAGAAGAAGAGAUACAGAGCGGAGCAACAGAGAUUUGAACUGAAACAUUCCAGGCAGCUCGAGGAAGUAAGGGCCCAGAGCGAUGCCACAAUCAAGGAACUGGAGCAAUUGCAGAACGAAAAGCGAAAAAUGCUAAUGGAACACGAGACAUUAAAGUUGAAGGAACAGGAGGAGGCUUACGGCAAAGAAAUUCGUGAGUGGAAAGCGCAACUUAAGCCUCGAAAGCAGAAGAUAGAAGCUGAUCUGGCGGCUGAAAUGGAAGCAUUGGAAAAGCUCUACCAAGACUAUUUGCCUUCUUCUGGUCUUCUUAGUGGUCUCUCUUUUCCCUUUUUCGACUACUCUAAAACCGUAAUUUCCGACACUUGGAAGAGAUCUCCACGCUUACCGCGCUCCACUCCCACCUCUCCGUCUUUCACUAUACCCAGGGUGUCGCUAAAAAUUAGUGGUUCGGACGCAGGCACCUACACGUCGAACGGCACGCUCUCACGAAGUCAUUCUAGACCGGAUUUAGUCCCACCUUUUCGUAAAUUAUACCCGUUCUAAAUCAUCCUCCUAAUAAUAUGUUCGUAUAGGCAAAACAUUUUAACAUAUAUACAUGCAUGUUAUAUAUGCGUAUACAAAUCGAUGUUUCUUCUUUUUGCGUUUUUUUCAAAGGCAUAGAGUAACAUUUUUCAAGUGUACGCAUAUAUAUAUAUAUAGAUUUCCAAGUCUUCCCAGCUUCUGCAAAUGGCUUCAUUUCCAUGUGUUGUUUGCAUGCAUUUAACGCAUCAGUGUAUGUGUCCUUGCAUAUCCUUGGUCUAAAAUAAAAAAAUUCGUGUUUUAGUAAGGGAACAUUCUUUAAAUCAUCUACAUUUCGAAAUAUAUCACAAUUUUGUUGCAACUUCAUUCUUAUAUAGCUUUCUUUCAAACAUUUAUAAAAUGUCCAUGUUUAUAUAACAUAUACUUUCCCUUGAAUAACCAUAGAAAAAUAAUCUUUGCUAUACUCAUUGGUGCCUUUAAUAAUAAUGCCAUAGAUCGGCAGAUAUACAGAUUAGAUGUAGUAUAUAUACAUAUUUUCUAUGUAUGAAAUGCAAAAAGUUAUUAAUAUAACUUGAAAGAUAAGUAACUAUACAUGGUUUUUGUAAAAAAAAACUUGUGGGAUAUAUAUAUCGGGAGAAAUCGUAUUAUAUAAUAGGGCAGAUUAAUUUAUUCUUUAUGAAUUACGGUUCUAAGAGUUGAAAAAAAUAUGCAGUCAGUCAGAUAAAAUUUUAAUUUCUUGAGAUCUGUAUAACAAGUCGGAUAAGAUGUUAAUUUCCCGAGAUCUAUGUAGAAAGUUUGAGUGUGUGUUAGUGUUCUUGUUUUUUCUCUCUCUUUCUAUUUUUCUUUCAUUUCCAUUCAAUGUGUAAUUUUUGAUCCAUUUGUAGUUUAUAAAAAAUCUAUUGAUAAAAGUGCUUGAAGGAAGGAAGGAGAAACACUAUUAAUAAAUUUGUGUAUCUAAUAUAUAUUAAAUAUACAGAUUUCAGUUAAAAUUAUUAAUAUGGGGGAAUAUUUAUAAGAAUAGAAAUAACAUAAAAAGAAUAAUACAAUUCUCGUUGUGUGUAUAUACAUUUUUAGAAUUAUAUGUGAGAAUUACAUUUGUACAACAUUGUAAUUUUGUCCAUGUAUUUCGAUUUAAUCACACACACAUAUCAUAAAUUAUAUUGUGCUUCAUUAUAAGCUUAAAUGGUAAAAAUAUGGAAAUAACAGGGUAAGUGUGUUUACGGUUUAGAAUUAGCAAAAUAAGGUGUCAUGAGCGGUUUCCUUGAUGGGUCCCAUAACUAUGAUUGUUUAAUAGCAUAUACAAUCAAUUUUUUUUAUUACAGUCCUCUUACUUGAAUAAUAUACAUAUAUGUGAUCCUAUAGAAAAAUCCUAAUGAAAAGUUAAAAAGAGAUUCCACAAGUUUCGGAUUCAAAGCUGUGUACAAAGUGUUAAGCCACAAGAAACUUGAAGAACAGUUCGCGUUACAACUCGAGGAGCAAGAGGCGAUUUAUGGUCCUAGUGCGAUACCGUUAUGCUUGCCGGCCGAUCUUCCCGAUUUGACUCAUCAUACGACCGAGUCUACGCGUAGUUCGUUGUCUUCCGUAAGCGAGGGCUGAAGCUGAAGGCUUUUGAAUUAAAUAAACGAGAAAACGUGUACAAAAUUAUGCACGUACGCGUGCGUGUGAUCUUAAUAUGUCUAAACGUCACUGCAAAACUGAAUAGUUAAUACUUUUUUGCAUAUCGAUUAUCAUUAUGAUUCAUAUAUGUAUAUAAUAUCGCGAUAACGUGUUUUGGAACUGAAUAAUUUCUAUCUAGAUACGGCUAUAUUGUUUAUAUAUAUAUAAACUUGACUCACCAUAAAAAUGAUAGUAAUGUCUAAAUAUUUCGAAAAUUUUUACACGUUACACAUUUAUAAUUCUUGGAUGAAAUUCAGUAAUACUGCUCGUCGCGCGUAAUUUGAAUAGUGAACGUACAAUGAAAGUACUAUUAAAUUGCAAAAUUACCGAAAUAAGCGUCGAUUUUUUGCAAUGAUAUGGAACUUCCGAAACAUCUAAAGAGAAAUGUUUUGUAACUCAUUGCUACGAAAGCCAGUUUACAUAAUUUGAUACUAGCAAUAUUUUAUCCAAAAUAUAUAUAUCUGUAUAGAUUGUUAUAUAUAAUUUAUAUAUCACGAUAUAGCGAUAUAUACAUUGAUAUACUUAAAUUAAUCCGCCCAUACCUGAUCUUGGAAUCUUAUUGCAACAUGAAAGACACUAACACUCCAUUGGGUAUAAAAAAAACAUACCUUUGUAUGUAUUAUAUAACAUAUAAAAGUUAACCGUCAGUUAACCGAUGAUAACUUUAAGGGAGGAGACUCUUAUCGUUGUGUAUGUACGUAUGUUUAUAGAGAAUUUGUAAUAAUUUUACAGUUAUAUACAAUCCACAGACAUGUGGAAUGUAUAUUUUCUAUAUUUAACAAAAAAAGAGAUGAUUAUAUCCCUGUAUACCCUCCUAUCAACUCAAUUCGAUUCGGUUGUGCUGUCGGGGCGUAUCGGAAAUUUCUAAUAUUUGUUAUGUGAUUAUAUAUAAUAGCGGUAUAAGGCAAUACAGACCGCUCGACUUGUUUUAAACUAUCACGAUUUUAAGGUAUUAUCUACCUAUACAUAGAAUCGUUGAAUUAUGUACAUGGUAUAAAUUCAUGUAAUAAUGUUAAGCUGUAGUCACCAUGUUCGGUUAUAGUUACGUUAUUUAUAAAAAAAAAGUUUAUAGUAGCAACGCGAGUAUUCUACUUCAGACGAAUAUUUUAGUAAAUAUCCGUGAACUUGAAUUACUUUGUUCCUUAAAAUUCCACUAUUUCUCUCCAAUAUGGGGAUUAUAUUAUACGCUUGAAAUUAUAUCGUAUAAAAUUGUAUAAAUGAUAAGGCGUGAUAUUUUAAAUUAUAUUUAAAAAAUUAUGGUAUUCUAUAAAUAUUUGAUAUCUACAUAAAAUAUAAUUUCAAUUUAUAUAAUUUUUUGGAACACAAACAUGGAAUACAUAUAUCUAAACGCGAAAAUGAUAUAAGCCUGUUCACGAUAAAACUAAAAAUUUGUGAAAAGGUUUCAUACUAAUUCUAAAUACGAUGCUCUACGAGAAUAAAUAAUAAUUAUUCCUGAUUAUAAGGAACAAAGUAAUCUGAGAUUUUACAUUGCACUAAAAAUCAAAGGAUAACACCAAAUAUAUAUACAUUGUACGUUUGCAUGGUUGUGUAGCCUGAUGACAUUCUAGAGAAUCUCUCUCAUAAUGCAUACUUAAAACGAGCAUGCGUGGCUAAUGCAAGCUGUAGAUAAAGAGUACUUGUAUAAAAAGGAAUAUCUUUUUUUUAUUGUAUAAAUUAUGCUACUCUACGACGUGGAUCAGUUUUGCAAUACGGGAUGUCUCAGCGUCGAAUAUUUUCCUUUGAAUCUUUUGAUCGUCUUGAAAAUCAUUUCUUUCUUCAAAAAGAAAGUCGAGAUUAUAUAAAUAGACUUUAGAAUUUUAGUCUACAAGUAUAUAUAGCCAAAGCAAGAUGCACGACAGAAAUGAGACAUUCUACACAUAUUCGAGAAGUUUCGUGUAUAUAGAAUUCUGAUGAAUCGCUUAAAUAUUAAGGAACUGUAAUCUAGUAUAAAUACCAUCGUGUUAUAAUGAUCGAUUAAGAAGCAGAUUUCUUUGUCUUUCUUCAAUAAAUACUGUGUAUAUCUUUUA